UACAGAGGGGGCAAGCGUUGUUCGGAAUUACUGGGCGUAAAGGGCCAGUAGGCGGCCAACUAAGUCACACGUGAAAUCCCCCAGGCUUAACCUGGGAACUGCGUGUGAUACUGGAUGGCUUGAAUUCGGGAGAGGGAUGCAGAAUUCCAGGUGUAGCGGUGAAAUGCGUAGAUAUCUGGAGGAAUACCGGUGGCGAAGGCGGCAUCCUGGACCGACAUUGACGCUGAACGGCGAAAGCUAGGGGAGCGAAACAGGG
rnacentral:rRNA from 1 species